GACAGAGGGUGCAAACGUUGCUCGGAAUCACUGGGCGUAAAGGGCGUGUAGGCGGGUAGGAUAGUCAGAUGUGAAAGCCCUGGGCUCAACCCAGGAACUGCAUUUGAAACUCCCUUUCUUGAGUGUCGGAGAGGAAAGCGGAAUUCCUGGUGUAGAGGUGAAAUUCGUAGAUAUCAGGAGGAACACCGGUGGCGAAGGCGGCUUUCUGGACGACAACUGACGCUGAGACGCGAAAGCGUGGGGAGCAAACAGG
rnacentral:rRNA from 1 species